rnacentral:rRNA from 8 species
AAAUUGAAGAGUUUGAUCAUGGCUCAGAUUGAACGCUGGCGGCAGGCCUAACACAUGCAAGUCGAACGGUAACAGGAAGCAGCUUGCUGCUUCGCUGACAAGUGGCGGACGGGUGAGUAAUGUCUGGGAAACUGCCUGAUGGAGGGGGAUAACUACUGGAAACGGUGGCUAAUACCGCAUGACGUCGCAAGACCAAAGAGGGGGACCUUCGGGCCUCUUGCCAUCAGAUGUGCCCAGAUGGGAUUAGCU